GAUAUCCGCGGAUAAUAGAAUAUCGAGACGGAUAUCCGAAACCCGGAUAUCCGUAAACCACGAAUCCGGAUCCGGAUAUUAAAUCCACGGAUCCGAUGGAUCCGGAUCCGGAUACCCUAAAUUUCCCGGAUAUCCGGAUCCGUCGCAGGGCUACCGAUCUUGUCUUGAUUUAAUAAUUUUGUAAUGUAAUUUUGUCUCUGUGUUUUUUUGAGACCGGCAUUGUUUGUUGGGCAGCACAUGGGGUAGGUGAACAGUAAUCGCACCUUCUAUGAGUAAAAGAUCUGAGAAGCUCGAGGAAAACAACUAUAGCCGCCGAGAAGGAGGCCCUUUAAUUGCUCUGGAAACUUAGCUUGGCCAACUGGAGGUCACCGAGAAGAUCAAAGAUGAGAAGAUCAAAGAGAACCCGUCAAGUGGUGGUUGAGAAGUACAAGCUUUGUUUUGACAAGAUCAUGAGGGCUCUGGUCGACUCCGAGGUUGUUCAGAAGAGCGCCUUGUUGAUGUCCCUGAUGGUUUCUCAGACUGGUCUGAUUGACGAGCUAUCAGCAAGGGGGAUAGAGUUGGUUUCGAGGCAGAUCAGGAGAUAUGGUUUCAAGCUCAUAAGGAAUUCCAGGCGGACAUCGAUGCAAUGGAUAUAGAUCGAUUUGAUUCAGAGAGAGAGAGAGAGGUUGAAGGUUUCAGGCGGUUUUGGUCAAGAUAAGAUUUUUUUAUCCAAAUGGAUACUAUGUUUAUGUAUUCCAAGGCUUUUGAUUGAUAUGUAAAAGUGACAACACCGGUCGCGGGAAGGCCUGGCUUAUUGAUGGGUUAAAUAAGAUGCGAACGUGCUUCGACUUAUCAUGUUUCAGAAUCCAUAUUAGGUCCGAGUGAUUUUGUUUAUCAUUAACCAAUUUGAGUGUUUUUAGGAUGCUUGGUAGUUUUUGUGCUUCUCAAGUGUUUGCGGGAAGGACCCGACAUUCGAUCCAAAAAGGUCGUGCUUAAGGUCACAUAAGGCACAACGAGUGAACUCAAAAGAUGCUUCUUUCGGCAAAAGGUGUCGUCUCACCAAGGCACCUAUAGAAGUUCUACAAUACAGAUCGGCUACAGCCUGGUCAGAGGUGUCGACGAGGGAGAUCGAAACGGUGGAGUAUGAAGUUGGAUAAAACCCUGUCUCCAACAAAUGUACUCUCUCACAUUGUUCUUAACAUGUCAAUAACCUGAAUAGGAUACAAUUAAUUUAUUA